rnacentral:lncRNA from 1 species
GCUACAUAAAAUAUUACAAUUCUCGGAAUACGAGCCAUAGGUCGGAACACUGUCAACGACCCACCAGAAAAUCUGAAAACACUCAGAACACAGAUCAAACACUCGAACCUCGCAAUUUGCAAAGGUCCAGUGUGUUACAUUAAUGAAUCUUAUUUUACCCGCAUAUUUUCUGUUUUGAUUUUUCUCUCUUUUGUUAUUGUAUCAGUUUUUACUGAGGAGACGGGUUUAUAGUAAAAACCUAAUUUGACGCUUCCGU